rnacentral:rRNA from 1 species
ACGAACGCUGGCGGCGCGCCUAACACAUGCAAGUCGAACGAGAGAGAGGGAGCUUGCUUCCUUGAUCGAGUGGCGAACGGGUGAGUAACGCGUGAGGAACCUGCCUCAAAGAGGGGGACAACUGUUGGAAACGACUGCUAAUACCGCAUAAGCCCACGACCCGGCAUCGGGAAGAGGGAAAAGGAGCAAUCCGCUUUGAGAUGGCCUCGCGUCCGAUUAGCUAGUUGGUGAGGUAACGGCCCACCAAGGCGACGAUCGGUAGCCGGACUGAGAGGUUGAACGGCCACAUUGGGACUGCGACACGGCCCAGACUCCUACGGGAGGCAGCAGUGGGGAAUAUUGCACAAUGGGGGAAACCCUGAUGCAGCGACGCCGCGUGGAGGAAGAAGGUCUUCGGAUUGUAAACUCCUGUUGUUGAGGAAGAUAAUGACGGUACUCAACAAGGAAGUGACGGCUAACUACGUGCCAGCCGCCGCGGUAA